GUCCCCGUAGUUCAAUGGAUAGAACGGCGCCCUUCUAAGGCGAAGAUCUAAGUUCGAUUCUUAGCGGGGAUACCA
rnacentral:tRNA from 3 species